AGUAGGGAAUCUUCCGCAAUGGACGAAAGUCUGACGGAGCAACGCCGCGUGAGUGAUGAAGGUUUUCGGAUCGUAAAGCUCUGUUGUUAGGGAAGAACAAGUGCGAGAGUAACUGCUCGCACCUUGACGGAACCUAACCAGAAAGCCACGGCUAACUACGUGCCAGCAGCCGCGGUAAUACGUAGGUGGCAAGCGUUGUCCGGAAUUAUUGGGCGUAAAGGGCUCGCAGGCGGUUUCUUAAGUCUGAUGUGAAAGCCCCCGGCUCAACCGGGGAGGGUCAUUGGAAACUGGAAAACUUGAGUGCAGAAGAGGAGAGUGGAAUUCCACGUGUAGCGGUGAAAUGCGUAGAGAUGUGGAGGAACACCAGUGGCGAAGGCGACUCUCUGGUCUGUAACUGACGCUGAGGAGCGAAAGUGGGGAGCGAACAGGAUUAGAUACCCUGGUAGUCCACGCCGUAAACGAUGAGUGCUAAGUGUUAGGGGGUUUCCGCCUGUUAGUGCUGCAGCUAACGCAUUAAGCACUCCGCCUGGGGAGGUCGCAAGACUGAAACUCAAAGGGACGGGCGCCCCCUCAAUCGGUGGAGCAUGUGGUUUAAUUGGACGAACCGGAAGAACCUUAACAUGCUUCACAUCCUCUGAGAACCCUACACAUAGUGCUAUCUUCGGGGACAGAGUGACAGGUGGUGCAGGGUUGCGAGACCGCGAGUCGUGAGAUGUUGGGUUAAUCCCGCAACGAGCGCAACCCUUGCUCUUAGUUCCAGCAUUUAGUUGGGCACUCUAAGGUGACUGCCGGUGACAAACCGGAGGAAGUUGGGGAUGACGUCAAAUCAUCAUGCCCCUUAUGACCUGGGCUACACACGUGCUACAAUGGACAGAACAAAGGGCUGCGAGACCGCAAGGUUUAGCCAAUCCCAUAAAUCUGUUCUCAGUUCGGAUCGCAGUCUGCAACUCGACUGCGUGAAGCUGGAAUCGCUAGUAAUCGCGGAUCAGCAUGCCGCGGUGAAUACGUUCCCGGGCCUUGUACACACCCCCCGUCACACCACGAGAGUUUGUAACACCCGAAGUCGGUGAGGUAACCUUUAUGGAGCCAGCCGCCGAAGGUGGGAGAGAUGAUUGGGGUGAAGUCGUAACAAGGUAGCCGUAUCGGAAGGUGCGGCUGGAUCACCUCCUUUCUA
rnacentral:rRNA from 1 species